rnacentral:rRNA from 1 species
UACGGGGGGGGUAAGCGUUGUUCGGAAUUACUGGGCGUAAAGGGCUCGUAGGCGGCCAACUAAGUCAGACGUGAAAUCCCUCAGCUUAACUGGGGAACUGCGUCUGAUAUUGGAUGGCUUGGAUUCGGGAGAGGAAUGCGGAAUUCCAGGUGUAGCGGUGAAAUGCGUAGAUAUCUGGAGGAACACCGGUGGCGAAGGCGGCAUUCUGGACCGAUAUUGACGCUGAGGAGCGAAAGCCAGGGGAGCAAACGGG